rfam:Triticum aestivum genome assembly, contig: Triticum_aestivum_CS42_TGACv1_scaffold_197375_3AL
UAUCUACUCCCUCCGUUCCAAAUUACUUGUCGUAGGUAUGGAUGUAUCUAGAUGUAUUUUAGUUCUAGAUACAUCCAUUUCUGCGACGAGUAAUUUGGAACGGAGGGAGUACUGA